rnacentral:misc_RNA from 1 species
GAAAUGCGAUAAGUAAUGUGAAUUGCAGAAUUCCGUGAAUCAUCGAAUCUUUGAACGCACAUUGCACUCUUUGGUAUUCCGAAGAGUAUGCCUGUUUGAGUAUCAGUAACCCAAUCUCACCCACCAGUUGUGUGGAAUGAGGAUCUGAGCGUUUCUCUGCCGCAAGGCAGAGUCGCUUCAAAUGAAGAGAAACUGGGAAAACCAUCAGCCCAUCGCGUGCUAACGAUUGUUACAAUCGCUUCUAGCUUUGGGUGGUCUUUCUCGGGCAGCUUUUGAUAAAGCUACCUUUUUAUUCUGAAUCUUGAUCUCAAAUCAGGCAAGACUACCCGCUGAACUUAA